rnacentral:rRNA from 2 species
CUGAGGUUCCACCUCUUCCCAUUCCGAACAGAGAAGUUAAGCUCAGUCACGCCGAUGGUACUGCGUAACAGUGGGAGAGUAGGUAGUCGCCGUUU